GGGGCUGAUUCUGGAUUCGACGGGAUUUGCGAAACCCAAGGUGCAUGCCGAGGGGCGGUUGGCCUCGUAAAAAGCCGCAAAAAAAUAGUCGCAAACGACGAAACCUACGCUUUAGCAGCUUAAUAACCUGCUUAGAGCUCUCUCUCCCUAGCCUCCGCUCUUAGGACGGGGAUCAAGAGAGGUCAAACCCAAAAGAGAUCGCGCGGAUGCCCUGCCUGGGGUUGAAGCGUUAAAACGAAUCAGGCUAGUCUGGUAGUGGCGUGUCCGUCCGCAGGUGCCAGGCGAAUGUAAAGACUGACUAAGCAUGUAGUACCGAGGAUGUAGGAAUUUCGGACGCGGGUUCAACUCCCGCCAGCUCCACCA
rnacentral:tmRNA from 1 species